rnacentral:rRNA from 1 species
GUGGGGAAUAUUGGACAAUGGGCGCAAGCCUGAUCCAGUCAUGCCGCGUGAGUGAUGAAGGCCUUAGGGUUGUAAAGCUCUUUCAGUGGGGACGAUAAUGACGGUACCCACAGAAGAAGCCCCGGCUAACUUCGUGCCAGCAGCCGCGGUAAUACGAAGGGGGCUAGCGUUGUUCGGAUUUACUGGGCGUAAAGCGCACGUAGGCGGAUCGUUAAGUCGGGGGUGAAAUCCUGGAGCUCAACUCCAGAACUGCCUUCGAUACUGGCGAUCUUGAGUCCGGAAGAGGUGAGUGGAACUCCUAGUGUAGAGGUGGAAUUCGUAGAUAUUAGGAAGAACACCAGUGGCGAAGGCGGCUCACUGGUCCGGUACUGACGCUGAGGUGCGAAAGCGUGGGGAGCAAACAGGAUUAGAAACCCGGGUAGUCC